rnacentral:lncRNA from 1 species
CUCCUUCUCCUGUAUAUUCCCUAAAGGCGUAGUGAGCAUAUUUUUCUCGAGCCGGCGACGGGCUCCAUCCCCAAAUCAGUGGCGCGCUACAUCCCUGAAGCAUGUGUCCGAUUUUUCAGGCCAUAUCUGGAGUCCUCGGGUGUGCCGUCGCCAGAUCCACCACGUCUAGCAACCAGCCGGAGGUACGUACAGACAUCUGACCGUUUUCAAUUGGGGCCUCUCGGUUGGGAGGGUUUCACGGCAUGCGUCACUUCGAGGGGCUCGAAUGGCUGUAAGACAGGUUCCUUCAUGUGCAACUUCCAAUUUAUUCUACAUCUGGCUUGUUUAUUUAUAGAUCCUUUGUAGAUGACAUCCCGAAGUGAAUAGGCGGGUGACAACGCUGCAUGGUGAGGCGAAUAUCUUGCUAACGGGGGAGGCGAGGACGAGGCGGGAGGAGUGUGGGUGGUGUUGGCCGGUGACAACUACAACAUCUACUUCUCUCCUAUGUUGCGCUUCGUCUCGCAGCUCACCGGAGAUGUUGUUCGUGACUUCCAUACCCUCAGCCACCACCCUACAUCUUCUCCAGGCAGUGGCGCAACAGCUUGCAGUCAUUGUCAUGCCCCAUGCUAUCCCGUCUACUGAUCUUGAUUCGAAUUCAAGAGUAACUGUAAGUUAGACUCUCUCCUCAACACCAUUACAGUUCACGUAUUCAGUUUGAAUCCUCUCAGCCCAACCUACACAUGUCAAGUGGAGUAUUGCGAGAUGUUCCACAUGUCUCCAGUUUGAAUUAUAACCAUCCAGAAGAUUAAAGAGACACUUUCUGUUAAUAAAAUUGCAGUUGAGCAUUAAGUCAUAGUUUGGAACUUCUUGGCAUAAGACAUGAAAAGGUAAACAUAUCCUGAAUCUCUUCUAUGAUCUGCAUAUUCGGUUUGUGAGGUAGUGACAAAAUAUGUCCUUUAAGCUUUACAUCAAUUAUCGCAGAAUACUACAUUUAUUUUAAAAAAAUUAGUCAUGAAGGAGCCAGCCCUUGAUCAAAUACAUGAACUUAUCAAGAUGCUUAUACGAGGAAUGCUCACAAAUUACGUGCUGCAUGACAUAGAUAAUACUACAUCAACCUUAUUGGUUCUAUGUAGUGUUUUUCAGUACCGUUGCAAUCCGAUAGUUUGCUUCUUCAGUUUGUGACCUUAACUAUCAUAACAAUUAUGUAUUGGGUUCAUGGAAGUUAAGAUACUGGCAUGUGUUUCCUUCUCAACAAUGACCUUGCUACAGCAUCAUCGCAACUGUCACCUGUGGACUGACACCACUUCCUGUUGGCCAUGGAUCCACCAUAAUCUUUGCCUGCUCUAUGGGCCACCAAUGUUCUUCCUGGUUUAAUUAUGUGGUUUGUUCUGUGAGGAUUUUGUUGUAGCUAGGUUCCAUAAUUGCUGUCAGAAGAGUUUCAGUUUCGUCUCAGUUUUUGGGAGAGCUGGUAGAGAUCUCCCCCUUCUUUUGAUUAUGUCAAUUGAUUUGCUUACUGCUAUCAGCAAAUUACCUAGAAAUUCUUAAUUAGGGCAUUGCCGAUGUUCUGAACUUCUGAUACAUGUACGCAUCAGAGCAAGCGAGAACUGAAUCCUCCAUUUUCUUGGUACAUGUAUGAUGCUUUCCUGCCUUGGUGCCAAAUUUUUGCAUGCGUCUUAACCAUGGUUUUCAAUUUCAGUUUCAACAAAAUUUCAGCACCAACUGAAAUCACUGAAAUUCAGUUAUUUCAGUUUGCAUUUUAGGCAAAAGUCCGAAAUAUUCAUUUGAAUUUAAUUAAAUAUUUGGAAUUUUCAAAAAACAUAUUUUAAAAAAUAUUUGAUUCCUGUGUACUACUGAAUUUGCUGAAAUAUUUUGACCGAAACGUAAUAUUUCAGUGUUUACUGAAAUUAAUGAAAUUCAGUGAAUUUCAGUGAAAUCUCACUGAAAGUGAAAACCAUGGUCUUAACAUAUAAUGGUAAGUUGUACCAACUAGAUGUAUUCCAUCAAUUCAUAGUGUUGCCUUCAUCGAAGCUCGUUCGGAAGCAAAAUGUUUGAUUUUCUUUCUGAGGUAGAUGGAUGUUUGUUUUAUGGAUGCCAAUGCUGAAGUGAUACAUCCUUCAUAGUGCUACUAGCUAGCUGGUUCCAGAAGUGAGUGUUUUGCUGUUUUGGUAGUCUGAUCCAUUUGCUGUGCUUGCAAAUAUCUUCUGUACAAUCUUUGUCAUUUGAAUGGCUAGCUUUUGAUUGCUUUUGUAGGGAAACAACAUCCAAUCAGGUUCCACUUUUGUCGAAAUAGUUUCCAGGUCAAGAACAUGUAUUUAUCUUCCUGAAAGGAAAAUUGUAACUUAACUUACCAAUACAAAAAGGCAGUGUUUUCAUUGGCACAUUAAUUCUUAUCAAAGGCUUGUAGUGGUUUUUCCUUUUUCCACCCUAAAUUUGACCUUGCAUCUAUGUUUUAAUUUAGAUAUCAAAACAAAGUUGGCUUAUACAAAAUUGCAAUGACCUUACUACAUACUGAGCAGGUAAUAGCAAUUGGCACAUAUGAAGCCAUAAAAAAGUUACCAUAAGUUAUCUGUGCUAUACAACAAUCCAGAUGAAAUAUGAUAAGAAGAAGUUCUCAUGCAAAAACUAUACGUGGUAAUUGUAUUUAAAAUAUAUGAUAAACCAAUUACCAGAGUGCACACUCACGUAUGCUUACUAGUACUACGCAUUGAAUACAAUUCCCACAUUGUCUUACAUUACCAUAUGUACACUCUAUUUUACUGCACCGUAAUUGUUUUAGCCCCAUUACCAUAUGUAUGAAUACAGUUUACCGUGCUAAUUAGUUUGUCAGGGCGGUGCAUGCAAUCCAUUACUAUAUUAGCUAAGUCUUUUACUACCAUAAGCGUCAGAGUGCUGCGGCCGUGUAUGGUAACGAGAAUUUAAUCCAUUACUAUAUUGUGUACUAUUCAUUACUAUCAUUUACUGAACCAUAGCUGACGUCGGACAGGUGGCUAGUCGAGCGGGGCAUAAGCAACCAGCGCGUACGGUUAGGAGUUUAGCGCCACCGUUUUUAUAUGAAAUGUACUUAAUCUUGUGGGGAAAGAAAUGUGACAUAUGAUUAAAUAGAAAUGUGACAAUCUUGAUCUCUGGACGGAUUAAAUAGGAGUUUUACGCUCCGGCACAGUUUAGCGCCACCACUAUUUGGUAUGCACCAGUUUUUGUUUCCACCCCGUACCGAAAUGAGCUUUAUCCGGUGGGGAAAUAAAUGUGACAUACUAAUGUUUUCCUCACGCAAAGGUGUGCAUACGUACCUUGCCAACAAAAUGAAUUAUGCAUUGCUAAUUUUGUUCGCAUGAAUUAACUUAGGAUCCACCAACAAAUUCUGGGUUUUACUUAACAUUCAGAAAGCUUCCAAUUUUAUGAACAGAUCCUGAUGACACUCUUGGAAGAUGGAAGAAAGCUAAUUGUAACGUGUCAGCAUGUAUAAUAUAUACAAAGCCCACAAGCCACUCAUGCAGAUGGGGUGAUGGAUAGCUGGGGUUUUAUGUCCGUUCUUUGCACCCCAUUGCAUUUUCCUUGCUAUAUGUAUACUGUAUAUGGACAAAGGAUGUAGCUAAUUUUGUCGAUAUGGUAACCAUGUAUGCUAACUUUUUAGUAGUUAGACUAACAAACUAUGAGUUGUAAUCACAAAGUUGCCAAGCAUGACAAAAUACCUCACGGGGCUAGAUCGAGAACGGAGGCGUGCAAGCAAACGCCGCUGGCACCAGGCGCAAGCCACCCACGGAGAUCAUGAACACCUCUUUAUCUUUCUCUCGCUAUAUAAGCCGUCCAGAGAUCAAGAUUGUAGCUACCCAUAUAGACAGCUGAUUAAGAUAGUACUAAAUUGAAACAAUGUGGAUGAAGACCGUGUUCUGGGGGCUCCUAGUAUUCAUGCUCGUGGCGACAACAAUGGCGGUCGAGUAUGGUGCAAGGAGCCAUAACAGUGGUCCUUGGAGUUGGUGCGAUCCGGCGACGGGCUACAAGGUGAGCGCACUCACGGGCUGCCGGGCAAUGGUGAAGCUCCAGUGUGUGGGCAGUCAGGUGCCCGAGGCUGUCCUAAGAGAUUGCUGCCAGCAGCUGGCCGACAUCAACAACGAAUGGUGCAGGUGCGGGGACCUCAGCAGCAUGUUGCGUAGUGUUUAUCAGGAGCUCGGCGUGCGUGAGGGGAAGGAGGUGCUCCCAGGUUGCCGGAAGGAGGUGAUGAAGCUCACGGCGGCGAGCGUGCCUGAGGUCUGCAAGGUGCCCAUUCCCAACCCGUCGGGAGACAGAGCAGGUGUCUGCUACUGGGCCGCGUAUCCGGACGUCUAGUCAAGCGAAUCUGCAUCUUAAUUGGUGCGGUGCGUGCGCACAAGAUAAAUAAAAUUAAGUAAUGGUGCGGUGCGUGCGCACAAGAUAAAUAAAAUUAAGUAAUGGUGUAUGUGCCUCUGCGAGAUGCAUGGGUCAUGAAUAAAUGUGAACUUUGUUUCCUGUUGAUGGAUUACACUAGUAUCUCAGAUUUGUACCUUACCAAUCACGCAUGCCCUCUUAUCCUUGUUCUGAAGCCUUAAUUUGGCUAUACGUACUGCGGCGAGAUGUUGUUGUAAGAACAUUAGCAAGUCGAGAGAAAGAGAGAGAGUAAAUUGCUAGCACAUCCCCAGGGUCUCAUUAUGGACGCUCUAUCCUGUGACACCGUCACAAUACAGCACACCAGCCACCCGAGCACUGGAACAUGACGUCCGCUCCCCCCUUGUUCCCAUGCUAUUAUGUUGGCAUUGGUUAUAUCGUGUGUCCAUCCUGCAUUUUAUGAGAGAUCUAGUAUACAAGAGUCCUAAUAAGACACUACAUCAUAUCGUGUCUACACACUAUACGAUUCCAAGUUCAACUAUAAUUUACCUUAUACAAUAAUAUUCGACACAACUCUAACAAAUUCCACCUUGCGGAAUAUUCUUCAACAUCUUGGAAUCAUCUCCGAGGAAUUCUAGAGCAACCAUUGAAACAGAAUCACUCCACUUUUGGUAAGUGAAUCCCGCAGAAAAGAAGCAAGCUUGAAUAUCACCCAAGAUGUCAAGAAUGCUAAUUUCCUGUGAAUAUGUAUAUCAGGCACGUCAAGCUUCAAACAGAAUAUGUAGGUGUCAUUGACAGAGUCCCAAUACAUGGAAUUCGUAACAUCUCACACAGAAGAAGAAGCUCCUUGGAAACUGCCCCUCUUCCGGGAGCCAGUAGCCAUUGAAAUUUCACUUGAGCUGGUACAGUGGAGUGCAAUACCAUUCAUGAAGCCGCUACAAAUUCAGCACAGCCACAGGUUCAUCCAGUGGACCCCGUAGACAUAUAGAUAGCAUUUCUUAUCCUUUCCCAACAAAUCUAGUAUAGCCGCUAGCGAACUGAAUGUAUCCUCUGUUUUUUGAGUCAAUGUUCUACCAUGUCUCAAGUUAAAAUAUGUUUGGCCGCAAUAUUAUAGAGGUGCAGCAAAGCAUGAUAAAAAAUUCUACCCCCUUUUCACUACUAGGAAAAAGGCUACUAGUAGCGCGGGUAAUUGACUACUAGUAGCGCGGGUACCUGCGCUACUAGUAUCGUGCUACAGCUAAAAGUUAAUAGUAGCGCAGGGUAAACCCACGCUACUACUAACAUUUUACUAGUAGCGCGGAUGUCACACGCGCUACUACUAACGAAAUAGCAGUAGCGCGUCUAGAACACCAGGCGCUACUAGUAUCCUAAAUACUAGUAGCACACAAUUUUUUCCCACGCUACUAGUAAUGAAUUAGUAAUUAAAAAAAUAAUAACAUAAAAUGCUGCAGUACAGAAAAUAGUCUAGGCAAGCAUGUGCUACAUCAUAUUUGGAUCUGAAUCUGACACUCAUUGACGCUACUCAGUCAGGAUUUUGGAGUGUAUUGUGAAGAACGUUAAUUACAACUCAAAUCAUUAAUGGUAACUACACUUAAGAGGACACCUUUCAAGGCUGCCCAUAUGUUGGCACAAUGUGGCCGUGGUCCUCAUGAUACAGAAAAUGUGAAGUAAUAGAUCAUACUAUUUCAAUGCUGUGAUUGAGAUAAUACUAUAGUGCAAGAACGUGGCAGUGGUCUUCGGUGCUUGUGAUUACGAUCAUUGUCGUCAUUGCCACUAGUUUCAAAGUUUUCAGUAUCUCUAGUAGCUUCCGGAUCGGUGGAACUACUUUCUUCCUUUGGUGAAGGAACUUCUGUUUUGCCAACAUCCAAUGCUUGAGCUAUUAAUCCUUAGUGCAUCUUCACGAUAAGCAAAUUCGCUGGAAAAAAGUCAACUUGGCAUCUAGAUUUUAUCCAUUGCCCUGAGUCCCUGACCAUGUUCAAGAAACACUAAAUUUAGAACAUUACUAUUGUAAAUACAUGAGACAUAAAAUCCUAUGACCAUCGACAGAAAAGAUAUACAGUUAAAUACAUGGGGCAUAAAAUCCUAUGACCAUCGACAGAAAAGAUAUUCAAUUAAACUUAGGUCUCGCUGGGAAGGGCCCUAUGAGACAGGCAUUGUAAGUACACAGAUAUUUCAGUUACAAACAGAUAUCCAGUUAAAAAGUGACAAAUAACUGAAUGAAACUCAGACUAUAUAUUUCAGUUACAAACAAUAUUUCAGCUUAGUAAUGGAGUGUAUAAAUCAGACUAGAUAGAUAACACUACUGAAGCUUACAAGCAAAUACAUGGGGCAUACAAAGAUGAAGAACAUGCAGUCCUUCAAGUAAAUAUGAAGACAAAAUGAAUGAUUUACUUGUUAUUCUAUUUGACCCCAGUAUUUGUCAUGCAUACAAAAUACAUAUGUGUAUUCGACAAAAUCUGUAGCUAUGCAUUAUAGUUGCUAUCAAAAAGACAUUGUAAACCUAUCUUGGUUGUAAAUUACUGUGAUGUAAGAUGCCACCAAAAAAUGUAUCUCCAUCUUGAAAUUUAGAUUUUUAUUGACACUAUACAUAGGUCAGACAAAACACUACAAUUCAAGCAAAAAACAGUAGCUUUGCUUAAGAACACGAUACUGAGUACUUGCAAUUUAUCUUAAAAUUUCAGGAUCAAGAAGCUGAAGGAAAGAAAGGCGAAGUAAGAAUGCGAGGAUGAGUCAUACCUGCAAGAUGAAGAGCAUGCAUCCCUUCAUGUAAGCCAAAAAUAGCUUCUUGUGAAAAAGAAAACAAAGAUCAGGUUGUUGUAUCUAAAUGGUUUGUAAAAUAUUGUAUUUACAGAAUGGGAUGUACACAUUUACUGAACUUCUUUAGAAUGGGGCACAAAACUGAUAAGAAUACAAAAAUAUUCAGGUAAACUAGAAGUGACACAUUACUGAAAAUUACAGCCCAAAACCACUUUAAAUUCAGGCAACCAAAAAGAGAAGGAAUGCACAUUAAAUUGCAGUGCAUAUUUUCAGUCUAAAUAUUUUCAGUUCAGUAACAAUGAUUUGGACUGUAGUUUCAGUCUUAUAUUAGUCUAUCUUACACUGAAAUUUUACAUUGCAAACACUAGCAUUACAAAGGGAAUUCACUGAAAGUACAUAGGGAUUUACAGUGUAAGUAUGAAUAUUAGAUUGACUGAACUUAUUCUUUGCACAAGUGAGAAAUCUGAAACCCUUCUUGUACUUGUGGUGCUGCUACUAGUACAACCUAAGCACUAACAACAACUGAGCAAGAAAUAUAGUGCAGGACGAAAUUCUGCCGUUGCCGGACGGCGAGGCUGAGCAGCAGGUGGCGGAUGCGAGCGCCGGACGCGGACGGGGAGAGCAGAGUCACUUGGAGUGAGUGUACUUGUGUCUUGCUUGACUUGACCGAUGAAUCACAUGUCACUACGUACGUACUAGUUUUGCUUGACUUGACCGACUAAAGUCUUAAACUAUGAUUAGCAUCCACUGACCCGGCAAAAAGGAGAUUAGCCUCUAAUGAUGAUGAUACGUAUGCUAGUACUUGAAGCAGGCAAAAGUAUAUGGGAAAGAGACGCAUUGGAUGCCCUGCUCUGCUCUUGCUGGACCAGAUGCAUUCGUUCAAUGUGGGUUAGUGAGAGAGCACUAAACAAGCCUCUAAUGAGGUGAAGAGAGAAAUGAUAUGGGCAUAAACACAAGCAGCUCGCGGGCACGCGGACGAGAGCUUCACUUGGUCCUUGCCCGCCGCUCGGUUCGGUGUCUCCUCGCCGUCCGCUAUCCUCGUACCAAACACAUCCAUCCAUGGCUUCAACUACCCGCACACAACCACACCAACACACACACGCAUCAGAUCCGGGGAAGAAGAAGAAGAUGCUACUUUUGGAGGGGAUCAAUCGGCGUUAGAGGUUGGACGCCGUAGCUAGGGAUGGAAGGAGGAGUCGUCCCCCUCUGCUGGUGCCUCGUAGUGGAGAAGGAGGGAGCUCCUGCCGGCGGUGCACCUCUGGUGGUCGUCGCAGCCCGACCACGGUGGCGCGCGAAAGGAGGCUCCUCCAAAGCGGCCGGCGAGAAGACGAGCUUUUUUUUCUUUGAGGGGUGAAAAACAGUUUAUUCAUCACCAUAAUCCACAUGAAGUGGGGUACAUGAAGGGUCAUGGGGUUUCCAUAUGUGGCGUCCCGGACCCUGCGAAAGAGCAAAUUUAGCUAAUCUAUGUGCCUCAUAGUUUACGGCACGACCCUCCCAAACAACAUUGCAAUUAAACGUAGUAGCACUGAGUUUUAUUUCGCUGAUGAUAGUACCAUAUCGCCCUCUUGAAUGUCUGAGACAACUUGUUUGCAGUCUGAGGCAAUGAUGAGCUGGGGGAGGUGGAAGGAGACGCGUCCCUGUCGCCGUUGUUUGGGGCCGGAGGAGGCAUCUGCGGUGUGGGCAAGAUAAGUUUGCUGUAGCGUGGGCCACGGGUGCUUCACUACUGCUAAACUAAAGUGGGGUACAUUAGCUGAUCCCGUCAAUUUAUAGCCUCUACUAUUAAAGGAGAAUCAAACGUCGUGAUGGUUCGACCUCCCUCGACCCCGCAACAAAAAAUAGCAGAGAGAAAACCCACGUUCGACAGCGAAAAAAGUGUUAAACAAGUGUUAAUUAAGCAUUUGAAAAAAAGUUAAACAAGUGUUUGAAAUUUUUCAAUCAAGCAUUGGAAAAUGUUAAAUGUUUAUAGACCAAAUGUGACCAUGUAUUAAAAAAAUGUUAAUCUUGCAUUGAAAAUAUUGAUAAAGCAUUUGAAAAAUGUUACAUGUGUAUAAAAAUAUGUUGACAAUGUAUUAAAGAAAUGUAAAUCUUGUAUUUGAAAAUUAAAUAUUAAUCAAGCAUUUCAGAACAAAUGUUAAAUGUAUUUAGAAAAAUGUUAACCAUGUAAUAAGAAAUGUUAAUAUCAUAUUAGAAAAAAUAUUAAUCAAGUUUCUUUACAUGUGUAUAAAAAAUUUUGACCAUGUACUUAAAAAUAUUAAAUUUGUAUUUAAAAAAUGCUAAACCUUUAUUAAAAUAUAUUAUAUAUUUACCAGAAAUGUACAAUGUGUACCGAAAAAAUUUGACAUAAAAGUUAUUACAUCUUAAAAAAUGCCAAUCAUGUAUUGAAAAUAGUAGAAGUGUUCAUACAACUUUUUUCUGAUGUAUACAAAAAAUGUUGAAUAUGUGUUGAAAACCUAGAAAAACCACGAAAAGAAAAGGAAACAAAGGAAGAUUUUUUUUUUGAAGAAAACCGAGAAAGAAACAAAAAAAUAGAAGAAAUGAAAAAAAAACAAUUGAAAGCGGAGGAAAAAAUGACGAAAUCAGAUGAAAAGUAAAAAAAUAAAGAAACCCCUGAAAAUAAAAAACAGGUAAGAACCAUUAUUAAUAAAGUAAACCAUCAAGAAAAUAAUGAAAAAAAUAGACCUACAGAAAAAGAUAAAGAAAAUGAAGAAACUGGUGAAAAUGUCCGCAUCAAAACUACAAUGAAAACUUAACUGUGACGUUCGAAUGAACCAGAGAAACGUCUCCUCACAAAAAAACAGAAAAAAUGGACCGGCCCGAGAGCUAUCCCCUUCAGCGGAGAGUUGCUUCCAUCACUGUUAAAUUGAGGUACCUCCGUUCCAAAAUAUAAGUCUUUGUAGAGAUUUCAUUAUGAACCACAUACGGAUGUAUAUAGAUGCAUUUAAAGUGUAGAUUCAUUCAUUUUGCUCCGUAUAUAGUCAACCUAGUGAAAUCUCUACAAAGGCUUAUAUUUAGGAACGGAGGGAGUAGCUCUCACGCAAUGUGGUCGUCGAUACCUCGAUCUUCAGAGCACUUUACACAUGGGCCGGCGGGCCAGUGCCAGAAACCGCACAGUAUUGGCCUUUUAGAAACGACUUUUCAACUGGUUUAGAAAAUUAAUUUUAUUUUAUCAAGUUUAUCCAUAAAAUUCUUUAUCUUGUAUUUAAAAAAUAUUCAUCUUAGAUUAAAAUGUUUAUGUUGUACUCAAAUUUGUUGAGCAUGCAUUAAAUAUAUUCAUCCCAUAUUGAAAAAUGUUAAUUGUGUAACUGAUUGUUUUAUUCAUUAAAUGUUUUUGUCUAUUAGAAUUUUUAUAUUGUGUUUUAGAGCUUCAUCGUGAAUUAGUAUCCAUUAUAUUUCAAUUUGUUCGCCAUGUACUAAAACAUCUUUACUAAAUAUUCAUCAUGCACUUCAAAAAUUUCAUCGGUUACUAAAAUAUGCCCAUCGUGCAUUAAAAUAUUUUUUGUAUAUUUAGAACAUGUUCAUCUUGUAUUUUACAAAAAAUCAUCAUGUACAAAACAAUUUUCAUCAUGUAUUAAAAAAUGAUCAUCGUGUAUUUUAAACACAUACAAAGUUAGAAGGGUUCACGGUUUUUAAAAAUAAUCCAAUUCUUCUAACAAAAAAAAACCAGAAACUAUGAAAAAAUAAAAUAAAAAUGGGAGCACCAAUAACAUGAAAGCAAAAAAAGGAAACAAAUCAUAAAUAGCUGGAAGAAUAAAAGUAGGAAAAGAAAAAUAAACAGAAGCUGAGCUGCACCACAGAAACAACGAAAACAAGAACAAAGAAAUAAAACAUGAGUGAAACCGCACACUGAACCGAAUUUCCGUAUGAAAAACGCUCUAUGAUGUGCUGUUAAUGGGGGGGAUACUGCAGUCGAGAAGUAUGGUUCCAUCGGGAAAUCCUAAUUGGCGCCCACCGCGCCGGUUUGGCUCUUCCUUUUGUUCCCCCUCGCUGGCACUCAGUUAUUUCACGUACAGGUCGCUCUUUCUCAAAACAAAACAAAAAUACCGUACAGAUCACUCGUUCCCCGACCAAGCCUCAGUCAAUGAAGUUGACCUUUGAUUGCAUGAUUGUUGAAUUUCGGAAAUAUUCACAAAAUUUGCAAAAAAUAUUCAAAGAUGUUGAAAAACUCUCACGAAUUUUUUUUUGUGACUUUGGAAAAUUUCAAAAAACUUGAAAUAAGUUCAUAAAUUUGAAGAAAAAUUGACAAAAUAAAAGAAGAUCAUGAAUUUGAGAAACGUUAAUAGGUUUUGAGAAAAAAGUUUACAAACUUAUGAAAAAUUUAUCUAGUUUGAAAGAACUUAAUAAAAGUUCAAAUACACUCAUCGAUUUCGGAAUAUGAAAAAGAGUUCAUUAGUUUAGGAAAAAGUUCAUCAAUUUGAAAUUUUCAUCGAUUUUUAAAAAGUACAGACAUUUGAAAAAAAAAGUUGUCCAUUUUUCAAAUUCAUCAAUUUUGAAAAACAUAAUUCACAUAUUAGAAAAAUAUUUCAUUUAUUUUUGAAAAGGCUCAUGGAUUUUCAGAAUAAUCAUUUACCAACUUUAGGAUAAAGUUCACGAAUUUGAAAAUCAAUUAAUGUGUUUUGAGAAAAUGUUCACAGAUUUCGAUUAAAAAAUGCACAAACUUGUAGAAUAGUCCACAUGUUGAAAAACUUCAAAAAUUUAUGAAAUGGACGAAUUUUCAAAAAUAAAAUAAAAAUGGAAAAAUGGAAAACUAUAAAAUUUGAGGAAAAAAUGGCCAGAAAAAAACCGAUAAGAUAAUACCGGAACAGGAAAACCAAUGAGUCUUUCUAGCUUUAUUGAAGAAGAGACAAAAGAAAAAAAAAUAUGUCAACAACUAAUGUGCCCUGUUGGUUAGCACUGUUUAUGCUGUUCCUAGGGGUCUUGUGUUAGAAUUAGCUAUUUUUCCCAUCUGUCUUGUUCUCUCGCCCCCACUCUUUUAUUUUUUUUCUAGCUCUCUGCUGGAAAAAAAAGUAAAAAAAACACGGAAAAAAUGGCUACUAAUUUUUCACCAAUAAAAAAAUUCUUGAAUCUGAAAAACAUUUGGUUUUUCAGUAAUAUAAAUUGCAUAAUUUUUCUAAAAUUUUAUUGAAUUUUUAAAAAUGUAUUCAUUCAUUUUACAAAUGUUCAUGAUUUGAAAAUGGAAAUGAAAAAGGAGAAAUGAAGAAGACAAAGAAAAAUUGGUGGAAAAGAUAUAAAAGUAAGAUGAAAAAGGAAAACAAAACCCAGGAAACAGACUGAGAAGCACAUCAAUACCUUGUAGAACAAUUCUAAAAUAAGGAAAAUAUGCCCCCUACAUGGGCCUGCCCAUUUACGGCCCAGGUGAACCUAACGAUGUAUUCCGUGUCUUAAGCUGAAAAUAUGUUUUUCCGUUUAGGUUCCACAGAGGAAAGCCAGGAGUCUGAUCCCCGUUGACUGGCUAUGUGGCCUUGCGUCUAUUCUGGAUCGGAUAAGUUCGUUUUGCAUAUUUUUCCAUGCAGUUUAACAUUUGCACAUACCAACAUUUUUCCCCCUGAUUUUGUAUAUAUUUUCCAUGUCAUGGCUAUCCUCAUUCCAGCGAAACAGUGCAGCUGCAGAUUUGACAUGUGUCUACAUUUUUCCUUACCCUACAUAUAUAGUUUGUUGAAAUGUAUACUAUCUUCAUAACUCAGAUCUCCAUGAAGAUUAGGGACUUCAGCACAACCAACUUACUAGCUGAUUAUAAUUUUCAAAAGUUGUAGGUAUGCAUGUGUAACAAAAAAAAAA